rnacentral:rRNA from 1 species
AGAUUGAACGCUGGCGGCAUGCUUUACACAUGCAAGUCGAACGGCAGCAUGGGGGCAACCCUGGUGGCGAGUGGCGAACGGGUGAGUAAUGCAUCGGAACGUAUCUUUAAGUGGGGGAUAACGCAUCGAAAGAUGCGCUAAUACCGCAUAAUCUCUGAGGAGAAAAGCAGGGGAUCGCAAGACCUUGCGUCUUUUGGAGCGGCCGAUGUCUGAUUAGCUAGUUGGUGGGGUAAAGGCUUACUAAGGCUUCGAUCAGUAGCUGGUCUGAGAGGACGACCAGCCACACGUGGACUGAGACACGCC